GGCUUCAAUUGACUUCCAGUCUCUCUGCUCCUUUCUUUUUUUCAAAUUUCUUCCCUUUCAUUAUAAUUUCUUUUCUUUCCUUCUUCACGCAAUUCACUGCCUUUUCUCCUUUCUUCUUCUUUCUUUGUUUUUCUUCCAGAACAGCCUCUGGACUGUUUAUCUUCUUCGCAUGUUCACCUUUGCACUCAGCAGCGAGCUUCUCCGGCGACGGCGGACAGUGACUCUUCCGAGGCUUCUGAUGGAUCUUUCGGGUCUUCCAGUGACGAGUCUUCCGGACCUUUCGAUGGGUCUUCCGGGGCUGACGAGUCUUCCGGAGCUCCCGAUGGGUCUUCCAGGUUCUGAUACUAGGUGUUGGAAAGGUUACUCCUUCCCUCUCUCUCUCAACCAUUGUGUGUGUAGGUGUUGUGUGACAGUGUGAGAUCAAAACAAGUUGGAAGAGCCUUUGCUUUGUUUCUGCCGGGAAAAACCCGUUAAACCUGUGGAUACAAGGCCGAUUUAUAGGCAAAAAGGUUAAACAGUAAAUACAUAUCAAAAUUCCAAAAAUGCCCUUCCGUUUUUCAGCUGCUUUCGUGGGCUUCUGUUUCUGUUUUUCUUCUUCUGUUUUAUCCUGCAAGUUUAAUCUCCAACAACUAAUACAUUGGAUUAGGAAGAGGAAAGAGGGACGGGGAAGAGUGAAUAACAACUAAGAGGUAUAUAUGUAUCAACAUAACACUGAUAUUAUUCAUGGAUUUCCAAAGAGGAUGAUGAUAUUGACUGACUGCUCCGAAAGAAGAGAAUGAAGAUGUAGAAGUAAAAUGCAUUGGUGUUCUUCGGUGGGUCUUAGACACACUGCAACUGUGCAGCAGGUCCUAGACCAACUGUAUGAUUCAGUCGGGUCCCUAGACCUGUUUUACUUUCCAAAUACCUUCUUGUUGAUGCAGCAUACAGACUAGUAGUUCACCAAAUAGUUUAGUUUAGUAUUUUAUUAAGUUUUUAGACAAAUAUCAUUGCUUCUAAGAAAAACACUCUUGAAAAGGAUAAUUGCUGUGAUAGGAUACUAGCUUUUUUGUUUUUAAUUUAUCUUGUUUUAGUUUGUUCUUUAUAUUAGAUUUUAGAAUUAUAGUUAGUUUAGGUUUUAUCUUGUUAUCUUUUAGGCAGGAUUCAUAGUCAUGUUAUAGUUAUAAUAAUUUGAUUUUUCCUAUAACCAAGGCAUAUAAUAUAUUCUCAAAUAACGCCUUUGAUUAAUGAAAACAAGUGAUAUUGAUUUCCCCUCUCUCUCUCUCAAGCUUCUUCUUCUUCUCCCCCUACUCUCUUCUCUUGUUUCACCUAUCUUGGAUUGUUCCAUGUCGGGAUUUGCUCAGAGCAUUCUCUUGAUUAUUCUGCAUCAAAUGGCCAUCAGGAAUUUCCAAUUAGCGCCCCCCCCCCCCCCCCCCCCCCCCAACUAGGGGUGGAUCUAGGAAUCUAUCUUGGGGGAGGCUGAAAUUUUAAAAAGUUAAUGUAAUAAAAUUCUUAUGUAAUUAAUGAUAGGAUUUGGGUUUGAAAUUAAUGAUAAAAGUUAAUUUUAAAAAGUUAUUAUUUGGACUUAUUUGAAAUUAAUGAUAGGAUUUGUGUGGGUUUGGUCUUGAGCUUACAAUUUUUUACUUAUAAAUGAGUUAUGACCAGGAGUGGAGAGUUGCAUAUCACAGAUUUUGGGGUGGGUUGUAAUUUGUUUUGGGCUGGGCUGUUAUUAAAAUUUUGUUUUUUUACACUAAAAAAUUGAAUCUGGUAGUGGGCUGCCCUGGGCUUCAGCGCACUAGUAGAUCUACCCCUCCCCCAAACUUACCUUUUCAGACUUUUUGGCUUGUGUUCUGAGUCUUACUACUCGGAGAGGCAUAAUUGGGAACGGGAGAAAAGUCUUAAGCUUAUUUUUAUUAUCAGAAGUCAACCACUAUGCUUAAUGUCACCUUAUUGGAGAUUGAUUCAACUUUUGGUUAGGUUCCUCAAAUCAAUUCAAUCUGGAAGGAAAUCUGAAUUUCUACAAGGGCAUAAAGUUCCUGUUCUAAAUGGGGUGCUAAAAUUCAAUUGAAAUGGUGCGUCAAAUGAGAACUUGAUAUGCUGCAGCUGUGGUUGCAUUAAUCUCUCUUAUUUAGCCCUGGGAUUAGAGGCACGGGCUAUUUUAGAGUUGUCUAAUAUAGCAGUAUCUGGCCUCUUUUAUCUGGUGCAACUUUAAUCUCUAGCUAGCUCGGGGACUCUCCCAGAUGAUUGCUCAACUGGUCUCUCUCUUAUUUGCAGGCUCCCAUUCAGAUUUCUUGAAAAAGUAUGAUCACCCUUUCUGGAAAAAUCACAUUGAACAGAGAUGUUGAUUCACCUUUUUUUUUUUUCUUUCUUUCUUUCUUCUUUUUUAUUUUUAUUUUUUUUUCUUUUCUUUAGCCAUUUCUUACAAUUGGAGCUUAGCUUCAGCUUUGGGCGAUAAAGUAGCUGGAAGACAUGGAAAUAAAGAUAUUUGAAUGUUCACUCAGGUUAGCAGGGAGUCUGGUAGAGCCUUAGAAGCUGCUGCCAGGAUUACAAAGAAAUGUGCUGCUCAGCUGGUUGGCUAGGUAAUUGUGUAUAAGUUGCUCUCUCUUUCAUUAGAAAAGAACCAUUAACAUUUUCAGAAGAUUUGAUACGAAGUAUAACAUGUUUUUGGAAGACUUGGUACAAGUGAUUUACAUUUUACUGAUUAUAACUUACAAAAUACAUGGGAUUUCCCAUUAUUGUACUGAUAAUUGAUUUGGUUAUUGACUCACUACGGCUUACAUUGGCAGUAUACAGUGACACACAAGACUUAGGCUUUCUGGGAAGAAGGCCAAACACGUUUGCGGUACUCUCCCAGUGCCCACAUUGGGAAAAUGUUCCUGUAUUGUGCAUAGUGUAGCAUACAGUUCUUCAUGUAGACUCCAGUAAUUUCCUGCAUUAGUAAUUUGUCAGUGUUAAGGAAGUCAUAGUAUUUGAAUAACUGUUUUUCUUUUUCUUUUUUUGGGUGAAAAAACAACACUAGAAAAUCUAAACACUAAACUUUGUCUUGGCAAAAUUACCUGUUGUGGAAAAUCACCGUCAUCCAUCUGUGCAUUAAUUAGUAGCUUUGCUGCUCUAUGUAAUGGUGUUGGAUCCCUCUCAGCCUAGCCAAUAGGAAAAAGUUCAUGAUUUUAUAAUGCAAAUUAUUCACCUAGGUCUAAGUUGAAUUGCACUAUCUGAUUUUUAAUUCAACAUUGGAGUCGAUACUAACCUGUCCACUGUGAAGAAGGCCUAUCAUAGCCCACGAUGUCUGUACUAGAUUUGUUCGAUUUCCUUCCAGUGGUUGAUAUUUCUGUUUUGGGCAUGAAAAUAAUUGAGAAUGAUUAAAAACAGAGAGGAAAUAACGGAGGAUUGUUAAUAGUUUUAUCAGUUCAUGAGUUGAUUUGAUGAGUUUGGCAGAUUGAUCCUCCAGGUAUUGUUCUUGUUUUCUGUUCUGUUUAUUUUAAUUUCUUAAUUUUUUUUGUUGGGUCUUAGUGAUGUUGGAAUUUGGAUCUUGUUCAUUUGAGUGUUUAAAUCAUUAAAAAAGCCAAGAUUGUAAUUGACUACAAAACUUAGAAGUAGGAGUUAAGAGUUACCAUGGAUGGGCAUGAUUCAAGGCUCUCUCCCCAGCCUCCCUCUUCAUUUUGUAUUGAAAGCAAAAACUCGACACCUCUGCGAACUGCUUGGCUGUUGUUAUAAGUCAUUCCAGCUGAAGCCAUCCCUCCUAGCACAAAGAAUGUGCCAUAGAUGAAGCAAAUUCCCCAGUACCCAUACCUGUCAAUAUCUCCUUAUUAUCUUCAACAGCCAAAGAAUUAUUGUGUUUGCUUAGAUGAAUAUAGAAGCAAAGUGAAUUACCAAGAACCAUCAGGCCAUUGUCUGUCUUCAAGAAAACGUAUUGCUUUAGGCACAGCAACAUCUAUUUCUUUCUCCCGAUGCCCUGGAUGUAGGCGUUUGAAUGCCAACAGAGCCCGAAUUAUCGAUGUAGUGCAUUCAAUGUGCCUAAUUAAGUAUGUAGCCAAGGUUUAAUAACAUUUCAUGCAUUGAAAUUCCAUAAAGUGAUAAUGAAAUAAAUAGAAAGAACAAGCUCUUACACUGUCUCAACAACAAUGUCAGCGAAAAUCUCCGAGGGAUUCAACACCUAAACAAGGAGAAUCACGAUUCCUAGGCUAUAAGAAAUCUUGUUUGUUGUGCUCUGCUUGUAGAACAGUAUGAAGCUAUUGUCUAGAACAAAAGUUACCUGUAACAUUGGUAAUGGAACUGGUUUCUCCCAAAUAGCAAAACCACCUUCAUGACCCUAUAUGCAAAUGAAGAGAAGGAAAGAUAACUAAUGGUUAGUGGUAUUGCCUUCCCUCAAAAAUUUGUAAAACCCAGGACCUUAACCUAAUGUUUGACAAUGAUUGUUCCAAAGCCUUAAUUUUUUAGGUACUGUGGCUAAAUAGCAUAUACCUACCAAUCAGUCUAAUGAAAAAUAAAGUCAUCGUAUACUAUACCUACCUGCAAGUAAAGGAGGACAUUGACUGCAUCAUAUAUCCUCUCUGUGUCUGCUUUCUCUCCAGCAAUUUCAGUAGGCAUUUGUGAAAGAAUUAGUAGACACUGCAGAGAGAUGUGGGAAUUUGUUACGACAAUUGCCAAUCUAAUCUUGUAACUACUGCUGAAUUGAUGCACACUAGUAGUAAUAAUGUAAAGCUGGAUUACCUCCAGUGCUUCAGCUGUGCAAUCUGAGACGACCCAACCUUGAUCUUGAUCAGAGAAAGUCCAUGCUCCUUUAGUAAAUUGGCGAUACAUGUUUUCGUAAUCCACAGGAUUUUCUUUGAUCUUCAAAUUGAAAGAUACCACCAUGUUAUGACUGAAAUCAUUUAAUGCAUCUUCUUCCAAAGCCAAAAAGGAUAUCAUAUUCAUAUUUCUUUUGGUGCGUAUAGCAGGGUAGAAACUAACCUGUGAUUCUUUUAAGUAGAAGUGUGCCUUCUUAAGAGAAUCCCCAUAUUCCUCAGCCAUAUUGGUCGCUAGAAGUGCCUGAGUUGCAAGAGCAGAGUCCCAUAGCUGGCUGCCAAAACUCUGCAAUGAUACCAGGCUUGUUCAAUUGAAAUUCUGUAGAUAAUUUAGGUUACAUAGCGGCUGAAAUUUCAGUUUUUGUUGGUGAACCAAACCUGCAUUUUCAUUCCAUCUUCGGCAAGCCACAAGUAAUCAGGAACCCUGGCAAGAUGGUAUUUGUACUCGUCGCAAUUUGGGUCCUCUGCCCACCAACACAUCAUUUGCAGACUCUGCAAUGACAAAGUCAAAGACUUAGAUCUGAUUAUCACUACCACACCAACCCAUCCAGACAGAACCAAGAAUCUGAAGCUAAACCCAUAUAAAUGUUUCUUGAGAUAGAGCAGUAACAACCUUUUCCACACAUCCAAUGGUGAUAUAUCUGCUACUCUCUGCUCCAUGCCGCAUGUACUUUAUCGUUUUCCGGAUGGCCCUCUCUCUGAUUUUGUUGAAGGGCCACCUGCUCAUAAUCGGCUCACUUAGAUAAUGGAGUGUGUCCCAGAGCAGAUCUUGUAUGAAGCUGUGAUGAUAGUAGAGGUCCUCCUGCAUUAAUUAGUUGAAUUGACUUAGCACAAAGAGGCUUAUCUAGUUAAGCUUUUUGAACGUGUUUAGUUCAAAAUCUUCGCUUCUAUCUAGUGUGGCAGAUGUCCCCCAACCUGGCAACAAUCAUGACGCGCUUUGUUCCAAUCUAUCUCAUCAUAUGUCUUGGUGUGAAUUUCUUGCCUCAGUUGCUUGAUAAAAUCAGUGAUAGGCCCGUGCCAUUUCCUCCCAUAUAAAUAUGACAUUGGCAUAUAGGUAGUCCGACAAUAACACCACAUUUUUGCUGCGUUGCCAAAGCGUAGGUAGAGUUAGACAAACCUAUGCUGCUGAUUGGCUAAGAAGUUAUCAUCUGGGUUUAUUUGUCCUAUUUGUAUGAGCUUUGUAUAUAAAACGUGACAUCAAGAUAAUGGAAUAAUAAUUAUUAUUGUUCUUUCUUUUUUUUGCAGUUCCACUCACCAUGAUAUGGUGAGUUUUUUAUUUUAAGAAAACCUUUGCAAGUGGAUUAAUGUUGUUGAAAUUAUUUAUUACCUGGAUGGUAAGGCAAAAUUGAAGGCCAAAGCCAGAAUUCCGGGGGCAGCGGGUUGCAGCCUGACCAUUCGUACACUCCAAGCACCUGCACAAACAAAAAUGAAGAAAAACACAGUUUAGACGCAGUGCAGCUGCAAAAAGAAGUUAAUUUUUAAUGUGAGAAAUGUGUGAAUGUGUUGUUUUGUUUUUUGUACCGCUAGAUAAGUCUUUCCCCAGGAAGGAAUGCCAGUUGCUCCACCAUUGUCAAGGAUCCAUUUCCUGGCCUUGCUCAUGGCUCCGCCUUCUCCAUCAUCAGGUCCUUCUCCCAGCAACCGGAGAGCCACAUAGCUAAGUGCCGACCCAAUCAUGGUGCUGUGCCCCUCUAUGUAAAAUCCCCAUCCCCCGUCCUCAUUCUUCACACAAAAUUAUAUUCACACCAGUCAAUAUAUAUAUAUAUAUAUUGUGUGUGUGUGUGGAUUUUGAUUUGAUUGAUUGAUAGGAUACAUACUUGAUGAAGGUAGAUAUAGCGAAUGAGCUCUUUCUUGUGUUCUUGAGUUAGAAUGGUGUUGAUUGCUCCACUUAGGUGCAAUGUUAUAAGCUGCACAAAACAAAAUUUGCAAUUUGGAAGGAAGAAAGGAAACUUACUAGGGGUGGAGUGAAGAACAUUGGGCCUGCAUUUUCAGCUGGCCAGUGACCAUCUCUUGCUUGGAUGGCGCGGUUCAGUCGAACAGCUUUCCUCAAAGCCGUAGUCGCAGCUUCAUAGGUGAUUUCUUCUUUUUCCCCUAUUCUCACCGGUGGUAUACUUAGAUCUAUGUGG